UACGAAGGGGGCUAGCGUUGUUCGGAAUUACUGGGCGUAAAGCGCACGCAGGCGGAUUGAUUAGUCGGGGGUGAAAUCCCGGGGCUCAACCUCGGAAUUGCCUUCGAUACUGUCAGUCUUGAGUCCGGGAGAGGUGAGUGGAAUUCCUAGUGUAGAGGUGAAAUUCGUAGAUAUUAGGAAGAACACCAGUGGCGAAGGCAGCUCACUGGCCCGGUACUGACGCUCAUGUGCGAAAGCGUGGGGAGCAAACAGG
rnacentral:rRNA from 1 species